CAGUCGAACGAAACUUCUUUAUCACCGAGUGCUUGCACUCACCGAUAAAGAGUUGAGUGGCGAACGGGUGAGUAACACGUGGGCAACCUGCCCAAAAGAGGGGGAUAACACUUGGAAACAGGUGCUAAUACCGCAUAACCAUAGUUACCGCAUGGUAACUAUGUAAAAGGUGGCUAUACUACCGCUUUUGGAUGGGCCCGCGGCGCAUUAGCUAGUUGGUAGGGUAAAGGCUUACCAAGGCAAUGAUGCGUAGCCGAAUUGAGAGGUUGAUCGGCCACAUUGGGACUGAGACACGGCCCAAACUCCUACGGGAGGCAGCAGUAGGGAAUCUUCCACAAUGGGCGAAAGCCUGAUGGAGCAACGCCGCGUGGGUGAAGAAGGUCUUCGGAUCGUAAAACCCUGUUGUUAGAGAAGAAAGUGCGUGAGAGUAACUGUUCACGUUUCGACGGUAUCUAACCAGAAAGCCACGGCUAACUACGUGCCAGCAGCCGCGGUAAUACGUAGGUGGCAAGCGUUAUCCGGAUUUAUUGGGCGUAAAGGGAACGCAGGCGGUCUUUUAAGUCUGAUGUGAAAGCCUUCGGCUUAACCGGAGUAGUGCAUUGGAAACUGGGAGACUUGAGUGCAGAAGAGGAGAGUGGAACUCCAUGUGUAGCGGUGAAAUGCGUAGAUAUAUGGAAGAACACCAGUGGCGAAAGCGGCUCUCUGGUCUGUAACUGACGCUGAGGUUCGAAAGCGUGGGUAGCAAACAGGAUUAGAUACCCUGGUAGUCCACGCCGUANACGAUGAAUGCUAAGUGUUGGAGGGUNUCCGCCCUUCAGUGCUGCAGCUAACGCAAUAAGCA
rnacentral:rRNA from 1 species